GACGAACGCUGGCGGCGUGCUUAACACAUGCAAGUCGAACGGAAAGGCCCUGCUUUUGUGGGGUGCUCGAGUGGCGAACGGGUGAGUAACACGUGAGUAACCUGCCCUUGACUUUGGGAUAACUUCAGGAAACUGGGGCUAAUACCGGAUAGGAGCUCCUGCUGCAUGGUGGGGUUGGAAGGUUUCGGCGGUUGGGGAUGGACUCGCGGCUUAUCAGCUUGUUGGUGGGGUAGUGGCUUACCAAGGCUU
rnacentral:rRNA from 1 species